AUUGAACGCUGGCGGCAUGCUUUACACAUGCAAGUCGAACGGCAGCACGGGAGCAAUCCUGGUGGCGAGUGGCGAACGGGUGAGUAAUGUAUCGGAACGUGCCCAGUCGUGGGGGAUAACGCAGCGAAAGCUGUGCUAAUACCGCAUACGAUCUAUGGAUGAAAGCGGGGGACCGUAAGGCCUCGCGCGAUUGGAGCGGCCGAUAUCAGAUUAGGUAGUUGGUGGGGUAAAGGCCCACCAAGCCAACGAUCUGUAGCUGGUCUGAGAGGACGACCAGCCACACUGGGACUGAGACACGGCCCAGACUCCUACGGGAGGCAGCAGUGGGGAAUUUUGGACAAUGGGCGCAAGCCUGAUCCAGCAAUGCCGCGUGCAGGACGAAGGCC
rnacentral:rRNA from 1 species